GACGAACCGUGCGAACGUUGUUCGGAAUCACUGGGCUUAAAGGCGCGUAGGCGGGCGACCAAGUCAGGGGUGAAAUCUUUCGGCUUAACCGGAAAAUAGCCUCUGAUACUGGUUGUCUUGAGGGAGGUAGGGGUCUGUGGAACUUCUGGUGGAGCGGUGAAAUGCGUAGAUAUCGUCUGGAACGCCAAAGGUGAAAACAGACUGCUGGGAGUGUGCUGACGCUGAGACACGAAAGCCAGGGGAGCAAACGGG
rnacentral:rRNA from 1 species